AUGAGCUUGCAGAGGGCCUCGCUGCAAAAGGGCCGGCAGGCAGAGAGCCGCCGGGAAGCCGCAGCCUCGCGCAUCGCCAAGAACCUCCGCCGCCAGAUGGGCCAGGGCCACAUCGAAGGAUGGGGAGGGAGGACGCCACAGUCGCUGGGCAACGAUCCCUCCGCAAGGCACCGCGACACCAACGCCGCCGCAGCAGCCGCGCGCCACGCCGCCUGGUCGGGCUCCGCCAGGGGAAGCCGCCGUCGAGGGGAGCGCCAGAUCCGCCUCCAACUUCUUCCGCCGCCAGACGAAAGAAGAGGAAGAGGAAGACCCCGCCGCCGCCCGGGCUUAGCCCGGCGGCCUCCUCCGGCGAUGGCGAGGGGAAAGGGGGGCGAGCGGGGGCGGCCCGGCGGCGCGGACGAGGGGCUCAUAGCCAUGACCAUGCAUGCAGCUGCAGCUAAUUGA
rnacentral:rRNA from 1 species